AAACAAACAUGAAGCUUAAGCAGAAGAGAGUUACCUGGGAGAUCGUCCGUAGAUCAUUAGACUCUAAAUAACGUCCCUUCUAUGGGAAAGAAAGAGUUUGAGAAGGAUGACGGCGAAUGUUCAGAAACUCAAAAGCCAAAAGAUGUUGACAAAGAGGUUAGAGACGGGAAUUGGCUGGUCGUCGUGGCCGGUUUUGUUAUGUACUUCUGCAGCAGCGGUAUCAGCAGUGUGUUCGGACUUCUAUAUAUAGAACUGGAGCGGGAAACGGGAUCGGAAAUUUUGACUCUGUCCUGGAUCGGUUCUCUCUUCAUCGGUUUUAGCUUAGACAGUGGUGGGGUAUUGUAGGAGCUAUACUAAUGAAAUUUUCUGUUUUAACUUUGGUUUAAGUAGAAAUUAAUAACCUUUCUUUGAUUUAAAUCAAAAAGCUCCAUUCGUUGGGAUCAUCGCGAGAUACUGGAGCUACUGGUCGUUAGCAGUGGUCGGCGGACUGCUAUCCAGCACUGGAUAUUUCCUUGGAUUCAUCUCUACGUCACUUCCUGUCCUCUAUCUUGGACUGGGCGUAUUAAGCGGACUGGGGUUCGGGAUCUCUACCUUUGCCACAGUAGUGGUUAUUGGCCACACCUUUACCAGGAGGCGCCCCCUAGCGUUGGGCGUGUGUACGGCGGGGGUGGGGGCCGGGAUGAUUGUGUUUCCUCCCGUGUACACACUGCUGCUGGAGAUGUACGGACUCCGCGGCCUCUUUCUGAUCACAGCCGGCCUCUUUCUGAACAACGCUGUCCUGGGUAUCUUUCUCAGAUCCAGUCAGAGGGAUGUCCAACAACCCACCCAAACAGUAAUGGAGGGCAUCAUCAAUCCAAAACUAGUAAAAUCGGGGAAGUUCGCCAUCUUUCUUCUCUUCAACUUCCUGUAUAUUUUUGCCUUCUCCGUUCCGUUUACGUACAUUCCACUGAGAGCAACAGAGUUGGGAAUUUCCCUUCCGCUCACCGCUCUCUUGGUGUCGAUCUCUGGGGUUACCAGCAUGACUGGGCGUGUCUUGAUUGGAAUGAUAGCCGGAAAUCUUCCUCGUGCACGUCCUUGGCUCUUGCUUCUGUUUAUAUCCCUUUCCGGUAUUGUCAUGAAUGUUGUACCCUUUGCGCAGUCGUACGUCACUCUGGCGUUCCUAGGAGCGGUCUUUAUGCUGUUUACGGGGGCCGCUAACAGCCUCGUUCCAGUGUUGGUGGUGGACAUGUUUGGGACCGACCUCCUCGCCUGUAGCCUGGGUCUGAUCUACUUUAUAUACGGGAUAGGCUCCAUGCUAGGAGUCCCAGUAGUGGCCCUGGUUUGCGAGGCAGCAGGCGACAAUCAAUGGGCCUUCCACGUGGCGGGGUUCUGUCUGUACGUGUCGUCUGCUUUAGUGGUCGUCUGUAACCGUAUGAAAACACCGGAAGGUUUCUUCCAGACGAACGAUAACGUCAAAAAGAUCCCGGAUGUUGAAUCCAAUAUGGAGGCUAUUGACAUUUCUGUGAUUGACCUACCUGAACCCGUUGGGACCCCGGCCGCUUAAGUUACUGUAAACUUCGGCUGCAUAAAUCACUGUAAAUCUUGGCAGCGAGUUUAACUUACGAAAUAAAGCUUACAGUUAUU
rnacentral:misc_RNA from 1 species